rnacentral:rRNA from 1 species
UACGUAGGGGGGCAAGCGUUGUCCGGAAUCAUUGGGCGUAAAGAGCUCGUAGGCGGCUUGUUGCGUCGGCUGUGAAAACCCGCAGCUCAACUGUGGGCUUGCAGCUGAUACGGGCAGGCUAGAAUUCGGUAGGGGAGACUGGAAUUCCUGGUGUAGCGGUGAAAUGCGCAGAUAUCAGGAGGAACACCGGUGGCGAAGGCGGGUCUCUGGGCCGAUAUUGACGCUGAGGAGCGAAAGCGUGGGGAGCAAACAGGAUUGAGAA